CCCGCUGAACUUAAGCAUAUCAAUAAGCGGAGGAAAAGAAACCAACAGGGAUUACCCUAGUAACGGCGAGUGAAGCGGUAACAGCUCAAAUUUGAAAUCUGACCUUCACGGGUCCGAGUUGUAAUUUGUAGAGGACGUUUCGGAUAGGCUUUGGUUUAAGUUUCUUGGAACAGAACGUCAUAGAGGGUGAGAGUCCCGUCUAGAACCGACAGCCGCGUCCAUGUGAAACUCCUUCGACGAGUCGAGUUGUUUGGGAAUGCAGCUCAAAAUGGGUGGUAAAUUUCAUCUAAAGCUAAAUAUUGGCCAGAGACCGAUAGCGCACAAGUAGAGUGAUCGAAAGAUGAAAAGCACUUUGAAAAGAGAGUUAAACAGUAUGUGAAAUUGUUGAAAGGGAAGCGCUUGCAACCAGACUUGUGUUUAACGGUUCCCCCAGUCUUCUGACCGGGCUACCCCGUUAUAUCCAGGCCAGCAUCGGUUCGGAUGGUUGGUGAAAGGCCUUGGGAAUGUAUCUACCUUCGGGUCGACUUAUAGCUCAGGGUGUAAUGCAGCCUAUCUGGACCGAGGAACGCGCUUUUGCUCGGAUGCUGGCGUAAUGGUUGUAAGCGGCCCGUCUUGAAACACGG
rnacentral:rRNA from 1 species